rnacentral:lncRNA from 1 species
ACAGCAAAUUACUCUACUAUUAAUAUAGAUUAAUAAUGUUAAGAAUAUAUUUAAAUUUUUCAAAGGAUAUUUCAACGCACGAGUUAUACCUCGUUAAUUUCUAUUUACAUGAAACAAAUAUUCUUACAAAAAUCAAUCAAAAACGGAGAGUAAACGGAAGUUUCUCGAUAUUUGCAUGCAAUUACCGCUAUGCAGUUUUCCCUUAUUUCCACUCCCUUAACAUGACAUUUUAUUUUAUAUCGAAUAACGUUUAAUAAACUCGAUCCUCGCUUCUUUAUCCCCCGACAUAAAGUAAGCGUGAAGAUAUUUUGCUUUACACAAAAUAGACACGUAAUUUCCUAAUAAAUCUCGACCAGAUUAAAAUAAUAUCGAUUAUCCGGCGAGAGAAUAAAAACUUUGUACUUUUUUCUCGAUACAAAAAGUUGUAUCUCUGGAAAAUAUAUUAUAACCAGCAUUUAAGCUAUUAACGUGUCGCGUGCUCGAAACUUGAGAAACUUUUAUUCCAAAGUUUACUUAUGAAUCCCUGUUUUACAAUAGUUUCAUAGAUUUGUCAAAAAUAUCGUAUCAAUCAUGCGUUCCUGGUCCCAGGAAUCAAAAUAUCUUUCGCUGCAAUUUCCCUUCGUAUCGUAAAAUCGAUAAUGCAAAUAAAUAAAGAGGAGUGAAUCAAAGAAACAUUCGAAUGAACAUGCAAGAUACACAAUAUCCAAACUUCCAUCGGUUCUUCCACUCGUCUUGACGUCUAGUCUUCGCGAAAGAGAAUCGAUCAAACACUGCACUUCCCUUCCUCACAAUCCAGUCCAACUUUCUUAUCCCCCUCCUCUCUAAAAUAAAAUCCACAUACGAAACGAAAUUUCUAUUUCACGAACAGAAUUCGCGAUGGAAGAUAUUAGAUGGGGCAAAUUUAUCGAACGUAAACAUCAUUUUCCGGCUCAAUAAUCCGUUAAUCAUACUUUGAAAAAAAUUCUUCGUUCCAGGCGAUCGAGGAAAAGUUAAAAAGAAAAUAAUCGAAGAUCAUCAAAGGAAAGAUAAAACAGUGUACGACUUCGAAAACCGAUCGAAAUGGGCAGUUUAUUUUCAACCAACCGGCAAUCAGGAAACGGUUCGAAGAAUCUUCGAAUGACUUUCCGAUUGUUCGCCGAUUGAAUUUCACGCGAACGUGACCGUGUUAAAUUCUCCUCUCGUUUAAUGCAAUCUUAAACCGGCGAUCCAACGAGCCGACCCAGUCGUUUCUUCCUAAUAAAUUCACGCAGUCUCGCACACGCGAUUCCAUCCGGGUGGAAAGGCGGUGACACGCGGUUACGAUCGAUCGAACAGUUGAAAUUUCCACGCAUUCUGCCGCGGGCAAGCAACGAUCAAGCUGCGGUUUCUAUCUAUGGGUUCGCAUUCCGGGUUAAACUCUGUCCGUUUCCACUCGCUCGGCCCCAUACACGAUCGAUAGUUGUACGUUUAAUUAAAGCGGGCUAAAAGGGGAACGACGUGAAAUCGCGGCAAAAAGUGAGGGUCGGCACUUGGUGGCUCUUUGAACCGUGGCGACUUCAUCGAUCAUCUUGUAAUUGGAGAGAGGAUACCUCUCCGCAUUUUUCACCGUCUUUCUCGCCGCGGUUAAGCUUCGAUCCUGUUUACGGUUCUUUUUCCCAAUUAGCGACGUGAGAGAGGAUUCGUAGAUCGAAAAAGGGGGAGAUUAUUUGCGAUCUUCGAUCUUCCAUCUCCGCGAUUUAUCGCGCGUCGUAAAUUUCUCUCGAUGCUGUCUGAUCGAAAAAAGUUAAUAUAUUCGCGGAGCGAUUCUCGAAGAAUUUGUUGAUUCUGGGGGUUAAAACAAACUUGGAAAGUUGGCGUGCAAAAAAAUGUCGGGGGUUUUUACUCAUCGAUCGAAGUUAGACGAAGCGAAACACGGAUAAACAGCGCUCUGUUUCUACCUCUCCUCGUCUAAAUGAAGUUUGUUUUUUAAAUAAAUCAUAAUGCUUUGUACGUUUUCGCAAAGCAUGUGCAUUUCUGCGCAUUUAAAUUUUGCAUAAAUGCAUAAAUGCAUUCACAAUCUCAGGUAACAAAACUAAUGAACUCGUUAAAAUGAUCCCAGUUAUGAAUUUAUGAGAACAUAAGUAUUUAUUCGUUUUUUUUAUUCAAUAUCAUUAAAUUUUGAUUUUCUUUUGAGAAAAUGAUUUUAAAAAAUGAAAGUUCUUAUUCGUAGAAUCAAUUAGUUUCGAAUAUUUAAAAAAGAUCCGCCAGUUUUGUAUCGCCUUGUACAUAGUUUCCUGCAUACCUCCUUUUACUUUUACUGUAGAGGUAUUUCGGAUCAAGGUCAAGCCUAGAAUGCCUCGAGAGAGCAAACGAACGGAACUAUUUCAAACUAUCUAAAUGAUCUCCACAAGUAAUUAAUUCCUGUGAUUUCAUCCCACAGUGAUUUUAUUAGAUUAUUGGAAUAUUAAUGUUAGCAUUAUAUUAGCAUAAACGUAAUAUGCAUAUCGAUUUAUAGAACAUUAUUUUAUUAAUUAAUUUCAUUGAUCAAGUUGAUUGUAAACUUUUAAAGUUACAAUUACGAUUAAUUCGAAGAGCAGUUUCUUGUUGCGUGCGAUACACUUGCUUGAAAUUUGGUAACUUUGAAACGGGUCAGAUUUAACCCGAAUCGAAACCUUUCGAGAACGAAAGUGAUCCGACGUUCGAUACGGUCUUAAGUCGCGUUCCUAUCUCGGUUGUGCAAUCGUGGCCACGAAAUCACGCGAAUAGAAUAUUCAUGAGUUACCUUGAAAAGAGGAACUGCGAUAGACACUUGCAGGCAAAGAGAAUAAAGAAAUUUGGCGGGAACGUUCAAUGUUUAUUUAAUCCGUGUACCGAUGGAAAGUUUAAAGUUUUAUUGAUAUCCACAUUUUUUUUUUCAGGAAAUAGAAACGCUUUAAAUAUUGAAGUACUUGAAGAAUCAACGAUGUAAAAUUUCAAUACGACGAAAUGAUAAAUGCGAACUCGAAAGGACAAGAUAAGGAAAACAAGACAAACAUCUUAACAUGGAAAAAUUCUGGUGUGUCUGGAAAUUGGAGCAUUUAAAUACCUAUUCGGGAAGACAAUUGCACACUGAUAAGAUCCGAAUAUGUACUCGAUUUCGUAUAUUGGCCCCUGAUCUAACGAAGUCUCGUUCUCAAAUAUAAUCAGAGAAGGAAAUCGCUUGUUCUUCGAGAGAGGAAUAUUCGCUUUGGCGAGCGAUAGAAAGAAACAGGGAUCGCAUACGGUUCGAUUGUUCGCCGCGUAAAUAUCCCACGUUGAUUCGUUUUCACACACGUUCCACGCGCGAGGAAAGUAAAUCGGUAUUCCGGCGUUCCUCCGCGGCGACGUGACAACGUUUCACGUUGAAACAAAGUGUCGUGGAACGGCGGCGAAGUAGAAAUCGUGAGAGAUUAUCCUCUGUCUUAAUUAACUACCAACUUACGUGACUGGGGGAGAGAGAGGAGGCGAUCGCUUUCGAACGAUCCCAACCUUUCGUUCGGAAAAUAAAACGAAGACGUUUUCUCAAGAAUCGAGUGUGCAACCUUAACUCGAGUUGCACCGUUUGGUUCGCUGAACAAUACUCGUUAUUCUCUUAAUUAUCGCGAUACGAGGAGAUACGGCGUUGAAUACUCGUCGGAGAAUAAAUGUAAAAAAAGGAUACAUUUAUUGUCACCAUCCAUCAAAAAAAUAAUAAAUUAUCAAGCAAAAGUGAAAUUCCUAAAUUACAUCGAUGCGUUGAAGAAUUCUUACUCUCACUUUCGAAAAUGAAAUAACGUAAUCGUCAAGAUUAAAGAGCUUUUGUGAAAAAUCUCGUCGUCCAUCUUAAAAAAAAGAAUCUUCAAAAAACACGAGAGACGAAAAGUUACACGUUUUUAACGACGAGUCGAAAAAAAUCCGAGAAAAGAUCCGAGAUGGAGCGCCACCGCCACCAUUUCCGGUCACCAUUUCUCACGGCCGAAGGAAGGUAAAUCGUCGUUGCGUGAAACACGAGAGGGCGCGAUUGUUGCGGCGCGUCCCGUGAUGAAUUUCACGGCCGGGAAUAAAGAAAGGCCGGGAAGAGAGGGAAGAAAAGGAGAAGAGGAAGAAAAACGGUGAAAGAUGAGGCCACCGAAUCGAGUCGAACGCCGGGUCUCGCGAGCACUCUGAGUGCGUUUCCUGUCGGUCGAACGCACUCAGGAAAUUGUACCGAUUCCUCGUUUUGUUAACCAUCGACAAUAAUGUCGGCCAAGGAACUUAGAAAGGUUUCUUAUUGCUAUUGCAUUAGGUGCUCGUGAAGGGUUUCAGUUUUUCAUCGAACGAGAGGAAAUAUUUAGAGAGGAGUGUGGAGGAUGAAGAGCGAAUUAAUUCUUUCCAAGCGAACUCUUAAUAUUUUUACCUUUGGAAUACUUUAUAAAACAGGAUUUAACAAAGGAUAUCGCUGCGUUUAAAUAUAAUAUAAUUUGUACUGAAAAAUAGUACAAUAAUUCAAACAAUUUAGAUAACAAUGAACUUGUUCGUCAAUUAAUGUUUGGUUAAUUUGUUGUUUCAAUUUGAUCAAUUGGAUUGUUUAAUAAACAUCGUACGAUUAAUUGAUUUUUUCAGCUACAAAAUCCAGUAAUAUACCGAUAUUUGAUGAAUAUUCCAUAUAUAAAAUAUCAAAAAUAACAAAAUGAUUCUGUUUUUCAGUUCGAAAGCUGUGCAUUAUUAUUGGAACGAAUAAGAGAUGUGCACCAUUAAAUUUCAAAGGUUUUAAAUGGGACCAUCGAAGGGUUUUGAUCAUAUCGGUUGGACUUCUACAAUCGUGUCAAUUGACAUAAAAGUAGCAACGACAACGAGUAUUUAAAUCGCGCGACCCAACAUAAUCGAUAGCAGUGGACAGGAUUCACAGUGAUGAUGGGAUUAUCGUGUGUUCAUCGAACACUUAACGCGACGGGCACCGUUCUGAUUCGACACAUUUGUGUUGUGAGAAAUUAUUCGAAGGAAGAAAGAAAAAAAAAAGAAAAGAAAGAGGAAGAAAAUCAGAAAAAAAGAGGGAACGAAACGGUGGGUGCGAAUAAAAAAGUGGAGAGAACUGGAAUAAAUCGUGUCUAUUGUCGCGAAGUAGAUCGAAAAUUAAUUACUGCUCGACAGCCGUGUAAUUAGUAAUUUCGUUCCAAGGGACAAAUUAUUCGCGCGAAGGAAAAAAAUGAGCUGCGGUGUUUAGCCAACAUGUAACGAGAGAGAGAAAGAGAGAGAGAAAAAAAAGGAAACGAACAAUCGGAUGUAAUUAACUCUCGAUGAGAUGUUUCCCCAAUUACGCUUCGAGCGUAGCCCGAAUCAGCUAAUUACUUCCUCAAAUUGCAUAUUUUUUUCUCUCUUUAACAGUUGCUUUUGACAAUUAUGAAAAACAAUAUGCGAAGUUUCCUUUCAAUAUUGCGUACAUGUUCAUCACAUGUUUUAAUCGAUUAACAGAUAUAUUUGAGAAGUUAAUUUGUUUAAACUGUUGAUUAAUCAUCAUUGAAAAUUUCGCUCGUAAUAUUAGACGAAGAGUUCCGAAUCGAUUAUUUCAUUCGAAUUCGAAUAAUUAUCACUAAUUGCCGAAGAAGGAUUUCUUACGAGAUUAAAUUAAAGUAUUUCGAUCGUAAUCCAAUAUUUAUUAUUAACAAUCCGAAGAAAAUUGUCCUGAAGAAAACUAUGAGUCAAUGAUAGAAAAAAAAAAAAAGAAAACAAAAUGGUCAAUGGAACGAAGAGAAACUUUACGAAACAUUGAACGAAAUCGAGUUGGUCCCCCGUUGGAUCAAUGUUUCAACCCCCUUGGGAGGGUUGGAAAGACCAAGCGUAAAAAGACAGGGCUCCGCCGGGUGUUAUGAUUUAGAGGACGUAGAUGACACUUGUAAAGCGGCCAUUGUUCGACCCGACCCUUUUUGCAUGGCGGUUCCAUGGCGAUCCAUGGUGAUCCCCGAGCGAGGGGAUCCUAUUUUGCAAAUACCGCGCUAACGACUGGAAAUCAACGAAACAGGGCCACGGGCGGGUGAUUUAUCGUAUCCUGUUGGCGGAACGAUGCAUCACCCGUGGAAUAUCGGGCCGAAUAGAACUGAAUUUCCUUCGUUUGCAUAACUCACAACUUACGCCAGGUUGGGAUUUUUAACGCGAGCUGAACCGUGCGUAAAAAAAAAAAAAAAAAAAAAAAAUAUCGCCAACGAUAUUCCACUCCCGCUUCGAAUCUCUCGUUAAAAUAAAUAAUUUUCGACCGUGUUAUAAAAAUUGUUAUAAAAACGCGAGUGAAAAGAAUCCUAUUCCUGUUAAAUCGUCCUGGAAAAAAGAAGGAAGCGAUGAUGCGUUGAAACAUUGUUAAUGUUCUAUUUCUAUUUUUAAAUUUUACGUUGAGAUAAUUUUAUCGAAGUUGUUUCGUUUGUAUAAUUUUCAACUACGUUUACUACGGGAUGUUUCAACGCCAAACGGGACGGUCUGUAGAAAAAGUUAUUUUAUUUCCGUUAAAUUGCUGUAAAAUGGAGCGUAAUGGACGUGUAAAAAAUAUUUAUCGCCGAUGUUCCAUCAUUAUUUUGAAUCUUUUGUUUCGUGUUAAAUUCUAUUGAAACUCUUUCGUUCGAGUAAUUUUCAAACCGUGUUGGAAUACUCUUUUUAACGCCGGUGAAACGAUCUGUGAAAAGAGUCAUUGCAAACUCUUUAUCUCUGUAGAUUGUUAUAAAUGUCACGGGUAUUUUAUUUCUUUUAGAUCGUAAUUAAAAAUGUUAAAAAAUGUUUCGUCUUUCUUGCUUGUUUAUCCUUGAAAUAUGAUCUUGAAAAAAAAAAUAAUCCCGACGAGGAAGAGAGGAAGAAUCGACGAUAAAAGGAAAAAGAAAAAAAAGGUCAAAAUGAUCGAAUCUAAUGAAGCGAUUAAUAUAAAUUUCAGUAAUCAAGAUGCCUCGAUAUAGAUGUAAACGAGAGUUGUACAUGUAUCGUGGUACAGAGAGAAUGGUGGAAAAAAAUUAGCCGAGGAACCCGAGCCGAGCUUUAAUUAAACAAAACUCGACCCGACCAACUAUUCGGUGUUCGUUCACAUUUUUAAAUUCACGUGAAUUUCCUGUCGUGGUCCCCGCGACACAGUGAUGCGACUUGGCUUAAUGCUCGCGCUGUGAAAUAAAGCGUGAAAAAGCGAAUAUCACAUCGCUUACGAAUCAUGAAAAAAAAAUCACCUAUAUAAUCCUGUUGCUUUAAUAAUUCCUGAAAAAAUAUAUUCGGAUAAUUUCUAAAAAAAAAAAAGAAAAGAAUGGCCAUUCACGAAUGUCAAAAUGAUAUUUUAACCAGACGAAAUAAUCUCGUCGAUUCGUUCGAUGGCGAAAAAAUAUUCGGAUAAUAAAAUGAAUAAAGAAGAAACGUUUGAUAAUAUCAAAGGUUAAGAGUGCAUACAUCCGUUAUUCUUUCAAGAGACUAUUUGUAAAAAGACUUAAUUACUUGGAAGUCCAAUUAUUUUAAACAUUAAAAAAAAGAAAAAAAAAGAAGGCCAUUCUAAUAUCUCUCAUUUUCUCUUUCUCUCCUCUUCGGGAUAAAUUUUUCAACUCUCUAACUGUACGCGAUUAAAAAGAAUCGUUCGAGUUACUUAAUUUGAUAAAAGCUAUCCGACUAAUAGAAAAAUUAAUACCUUCCAUUUAACAGACCAUUGAGAGGCUCUUUUUUCCCGACCUAAUGGUCGUUUCAAAAAGAUUAAUUUCCCUGUAUCGUUUAACUACAGCGAGAAUAUCUUAGUUGAAUCCUUUUGGAGAAAAUAUCUUGUACACCACACCGUUUGAAUAUACGCGACGUGCGAUGAAAAACCGUGAACAACGCGAUAGAUGUUUUCGAAUGAUGAGCAAUCAUUAAAAAAAAAAAAAAAAAAAAAGGAGUACGCAGAGAUAAGGUAACAAUCGUCCAAUUUGCAAGAUCGAGUUACGGCGGAAACUGUACCCGAAUAAAAGGGUUUUCCGUGGAAAUAUAGGGAUUUUUUUUUUUCGCGUGCAUGUAACCGACCGUGCACGCGUCUCGCACACACAUGUACACACGGCUCGGCUUAACAAAAGGGAAGCGCGUGAUAAAUCUGGUAGGGAUAGUGAAGGGGGUUAAAAAUUAACCUGGUUGAUGCUGCUCGCCCUCCAUAUCCCGGUUAUUUAUCAUGAUCUACAGUUUAUUGUUCCUAGGGAAUUUGCUGGGAAGUAGAAUUCAUCUCUAACGCGUGCCAGCAUGAAGGAAUAAACGAGAUUAAUCGAGUACAAUUUACAGGGAAAAUUUGAUAUUAAUUGGAAAAUAAUAAUGGAACGGUUAAACUUUCAAUGAUAAAUGAGGCUGAGUGAAAAAAAUUCACAGUAAUUAUUUGAAGAUAAACUUAAACUUGUACUUAUUCCAAACCAAUUCCAAAUCUCAGAAAGUAUCGAAUAUCGAAAAUUGGCAUAUGAUUCAAAAAGAUCAAUAUCGAUCCUAGAGAAGUCUAUUCUAAUUAUCAUAUUCGUUGAUUACAGUUGAAACCCUCUGCAUCUGGAUUUCAUCGAAAAGGAGAGAGGUGAAAGAAGUCGACAUCGGGAAAGAGGUCGGUCUAGAUAGAUAUUCGGCCAUUCUGCUUUUUCCUCCCCCGGAAGGAGGAGAGAUCCUAUUUAAUUGUGAUUAACGCGCAACCGGAGGAAGCUACACUCGUAGAAAUAAAAUUAAAACGGAUAAAUACUGCGCACUGCGGUAUUCGCCGCGUUCCCAGAGGUGGUUGCACACACGCCACCCCGUGCACCCCACUUGAAACCACUCUGCGAACCACCCCUUCUCGCCGUUCUCUGUGUUCGCGUCCCUUUUUAACCCCGGCUUUGCCAUCCUCCUUCUUCUCCUCCUCCCGCCUUUCUGUCGCGCCCGUUCGAGACCGUGUACAAUGACGAGAACCUCUUCUUCUCCCGUAUUUUCGUGCGUUUCUCGUUUCUAGCCACCGUGAACGCCGACGACGGUGGCCACGAGUGAUAUCGAGCGGGCAAUUUCCGUGCAACGAUACCACGUGUAACGACACGAGGGCCGAAACGGGUUAUUAAAUCUUCAUAACCAGCUUGUUUUACGGUCAAGAUACCCUCAACCACCCCCCUUAAUCGCGUAACAAGAACGAUGCACCCACCGCGCGGCGCCACCGAGUCGGAGAAAGAUAAUUAGCGUUUCCUUUUUUUCUUAUUUCUUGCUCGAUUAACGUCGUUCCUUUGUUUUUCACAAUGGCUUCCUUUUAUUAAAAAUUGCUUAUCAUUCCAGCGGUAAAUUCAGAGGACACGGAAGAAUUCGAGAAUCUCGAGAAUAGAUAUUUUAAAUAAAUAUAAUAAUUUUUAUUUGAAAGAGGAUGGAUCUGGUAAAUUUUGUACACGCCAUUCAAAGUUUUUCUCAUUUCCAGUUUCACAUUGAAACUGCUCGAGCUCACGCAAUCAAAAUUUAUUAAUUUAAUAAGAUUCUAAUACCAGGAAAAUAGAACUUUAACUAAGAUUACUCUCGAGCAGUUUCUCUAAUUGCUAUAGAAAUGCCUAAGAUUUCCUUCUUUUCACUCGCUCCAAAACUCGAUCGAUAUUUCAAAAGUUCGUUGGAGCAAUUCGGUUUCUCUUUUUAUUUCAUCAAAGAAUAUUUCCCGAAUGAAACUAUCGACAGCCGAAGGAAGGAAACGUCGCGUGCAAGAAUCGUUCGAUUAUCGUUGAAAAUUUUUAAAACCCACGAUACUAAAAAAAAAAAAAAAAAAACCUUUCGAAACGAGCACAGAUUAUCGUCGGACGUGCAAACGUGGAAAAGCCACGAACCGCCAUCUUCCCCCGAAACGAAACGUCGUUGCACUCGAUUACUCGAUUACUACUCUGCCCUUUGGGAAGAGGUUACGAAGGUAGUGCAAUUUCGUGCAAUUCUCGCUGGUGUUCCCGGGGUCAAUUACGUCGAAACGUUACCGCACAAUACUACUCGACGAAGCUUGCACGCUGUAUACGCACCAUGGGGCCAAAUUAUGUCAGGUAUCGGCUACAUUAGGAAGCCAUUGUGUCUCGUGACCGAACGAGGCAUCGAACGUCCCGUGUAACCGGCUCAUUGUCGGCCCGGGGCUCGAAUAAAUCUUGAUAAUUAACCACGUCGAAUCGAUUCCCCUCUCGAACUAUGACCGAGAUUUAUUAUGGGACGAUCUUGAACAACAAGUGCAGCGGUAAUUGCAAAGGAUUGGCAAAAAAUUCCCUGAAUCGUCGAAGCAUUAUCUAUCGCCGGAGAGAGGGAUAUUUCCAAAGAUGGUGACUCGAAUGUGUAUCUUGAAAGAAGCGUUUUCCUUUUCCCGGAAAAGUCGGCGGAAUCGGCUUUGCUCGGAUACUUUUGACGGGAAUAAUCGUCUUCCAACGUUUUUCGGUUUUGUAGAGCUUCGAUAUCGCGGUUCCGCCGUACAAUAAGUAUCGUUUACGGAAAUUCUUAAGAGCGUUUUUUCACAGGGACCGGCUCUGAUGCUGGAAUAUCAUGGAAAAAGAUUCGCGAAAAUAGCGGGAGCAAGUAGUAAGAGUAUCAUCUCUUUUUUCUUUUUGGAAAUGGAAACGAGUUAAUGUGGAUGACGGAGAGUGUAAACGUCUCGGAACGAAAUGGGUGGAGAAUUGGCUGUGAACCGCGCUGCUCAACUCUUCGAAAUACAAUUUCCAAACUAAUGGAAGUACACUGUUUUUCAUUGCUGCCCGUAGUUCGUAGGGUGUAUUGUCUUUGGUCUGAAAACCGAGAGAGCAAGGGACACGUGGACGCGGAGAGCGUUUGCAUUCAUUAAUUACACACGGCCAUGAGCAUUAAGGCCAAGUUGGACACCAGCUAGAUUUCUAAUCAAGAUCUCUCGACGCGUGUAUUUAAAUUGAUUGCAAAACAGACACACGAUUAUUCACAGAUAUCUCUAUUCCCGCAAUACUCUCGAAUUCCAAUUAUCUAUCCGCGUGAUAUAAUUUAUCUGCUAAUUCUUAUACUCGGUGUUCGAACACAAACGUAUAAUUCUAUAAUAAUUGCAAAAAUAAUAAGAUGAAGGUAGAAAAUUUCUUUUCUUUCGUCCACAAUUUUAAUUAAAAUACGCCUUAUCUCUUUGAAAGAAAAAACAUUCGUCGAGCUCUUUGAACGGUAACAUAGCUGGAGAAGAGGAAAGGAGGACGACGAGGAGGGUUGUCGCGGAGGGAAAACAAGAGUGAGAGAUGCGUCGUCUUGGAGGCAAGCUUCAAAGCCGAAUCGCGAAGCCGAGGGAGAGCUGAUUAACCACGAAUAUUAGCGAACGAAGGAAAGGGUGGAGAGCGUAAAAUCGUAUUUCGUCCUUCCCUUUUCCCCUUCGAAUCUCUCGUUUGCCGCGUUUCAGAAAAAA